rnacentral:rRNA from 1 species
GCUGAGCUGUGAUGACGAGGGAAUUAUAGUACCGAAGUUCCUGAUUCCACACUGCCAAGAAAAGCCUCUAGCGAGGCGGGAGGUGCCCGUACCGCAAACCGACACAGGUAGGCGAGGAGAGAAUCCUAAGGUGAUCGAGAGAACUCUCGUUAAGGAACUCGGCAAAAUGACCCCGUAACUUCGGGAGAAGGGGUGCUCUGGUAGGGUGUAUAGCCCGAGAGAGCCGCAGUGAAUAGGCCCAGGCGACUGUUUAGCAAAAACACAGGUCUCUGCGAAGCCGCAAGGCGAAGUAUAGGGGCUGACGCCUGCCCGGUGCUGGAAGGUUAAGAGGAGGGGUUAUCCUUUGGGAGAAGCUCUGAAUCGAAGCCCCAGUAAACGGCGGCCGUAACUAUAACGGUCCUAAGGUAGCGAAAUUCCUUGUCGGGUAAGUUCCGACCCGCACGAAAGGCGUAACGAUCUGGGCACUGUCUCAACGAGAGACUCGGUGAAAUUAUAGUACCUGUGAAGAUGCAGGUUACCCGCGACAGGACGGAAAGACCCCGUGGAGCUUUACUGUAGCCUGAUAUUGAAUUUUGGUACAGCUUGUACAGGAUAGGUAGGAGCCUGAGAAGCCGGAGCGCUAGCUUCGGUGGAGGCGUCGGUGGGAUACUACCCUGGCUGUAUUGAAAUUCUAACCCGCGGCCCUGAUCGGGCCGGGAGACAGUGUCAGGUGGGCAGUUUGACUGGGGCGGUCGCCUCCUAAAAUGUAACGGAGGCGCCCAAAGGUUCCCUCAGAAUGGUUGGAAAUCAUUCGUAGAGUGUAAAGGCACAAGGGAGCUUGACUGCGAGACCUACAAGUCGAGCAGGGACGAAAGUCGGGCUUAGUGAUCCGGUGGUUCCGCAUGGAAGGGCCAUCGCUCAACGGAUAAAAGCUACCCCGGGGAUAACAGGCUUAUCUCCCCCAAGAGUCCACAUCGACGGGGAGGUUUGGCACCUCGAUGUCGGCUCAUCGCAUCCUGGGGCUGUAGUCGGUCCCAAGGGUUGGGCUGUUCGCCCAUUAAAGCGGUACGCGAGCUGGGUUCAGAACGUCGUGAGACAGUUCGGUCCCUAUCCGUCGUGGGCGUAGGAAAUUUGAGAGGAGCUGUCCUUAGUACGAGAGGACCGGGAUGGACACACCGCUGGUGUACCAGUUGUCUUGCCAAAGGCAUCGCUGGGUAGCUAUGUGUGGACGGGAUAAGUGCUGAAAGCAUCUAAGCAUGAAGCCCCCCUCAAGAUGAGAUUUCCCAUAGCGCAAGCUAGUAAGAUCCCUGAAAGAUGAUCAGGUUGAUAGGUCAGAGGUGGAAGCGUGGCGACAUGUGUAGCUGACUGAUACUAAUCGAUCGAGGACUUAACCAA